UGCCAGACUCCUACGGGAGGCAGCAGUGAGGAAUAUUGGUCAAUGGGCGCGAGCCUGAACCAGCCAAGUAGCGUGAAGGAUGACUGCCCUACGGGUUGUAAACUUCUUUUAUAAAGGAAUAAAGUGAGGCACGUGUGCCUUUUUGUAUGUACUUUAUGAAUAAGGAUCGGCUAACUCCGUGCCAGCAGCCGCGGUAAUACGGAGGAUGCGAGCGUUAUCCGGAUUUAUUGGGUUUAAAGGGUGCGUAGGCGGACAGUCAAGUCAGCGGUAAAAAUGCGGUGCUCAACGCCGUACAGCCGUUGAAACUGGCAGUCUUGAGUGGGCGAAAAGUAUGCGGAAUGCGUGGUGUAGCGGUGAAAUGCAUAGAUAUCACGCAGAACUCCGAUUGCGAAGGCAGCAUACCGGCGCCCUACUGACGCUGAGGCACGAAAGCGUGGGUAUCGAACAGGAUUAGAUACCCCUGUA
rnacentral:rRNA from 1 species